GGCCGUGGAGCUGGGGCCUCCAGGCACAGAGGUCACUGGCAGUGAAGAGCCUCCAUUCCAGGCAAUAUGCUGGAAAUCAUCCCAGUGCCCAGUCCAGGAUGGAUUUGAUAAAUGAUGAGCCCUUUGAGAGGAAAAUUUCCAGUGGCAGGAGGACCUGUAGCCAGGAUUGACUCGAGGAACACAGGACACAUCCCUGCAAACACAUUCUCUGCAAAAAUGAGACCAGUUCUGGAUUUCCUGCCCUUGAAAGGACAGAGCUGGCACCACCUCUUGGCUUUAAACUGACAUUAAAAGGACCUUGUUCCCUGU